GUCAAUGAAGUGGAGGGUUUAAGGAUUCAUCAAGGCGGGAGGAGCUGCUCGGUCCUCAUCUGCUUCUGUGCUAAUGGGUUAGAUCAGAGAACUCAUCAUCCAUCUUAUACAUGGAGAUGCCCUGAGUAUUUACCCUGGAAAUGCUGCUGAGGAGUCCUUCACCGGUGACAACGCAUACUUACGGGACAAGUCCUGAGACUUUUCUUCAAGAGUAUGGAGUUGUUGGCAUGCUAUCAGACAAUGCCUCAUACAGUGUUCUGAGUCAUGAGUCUGCAGAGGGCCAGCAUACCUGACGCCCCGUGAAAGGUCGGCCACGUGGCCUCUCUGUAAUCGCUCCUCGGACUAAGGAAAGAAUAUUUGUGUAUCCAGACCACCCCACAGAUGUGACCAGACCUCCUGGAGUCCAUCCUCCAGACCACUUGGCAUCCAUCAAUCAGACCACCUGACAGACCAACCAACUGUCCUGAACCAAUCCUAAGGCUAAGAAUUAUUUGUUAUUCUCAAGAACGGACUUGUUACUAUAAGGACCUUUCUUUCUUGUUCAGAAUACUUCUGGGUUUUUGCCAAAUUGUAUUUCUGGUUUGCAAAC